CGAUAGGUCUCUUCAACGCCUAUUCGCCAGGGGACUACAAGCAUUAGCUUCAAACCCAAAGGACUUGGCGGUGCUUUAGACCCACCUAGAGGAGCCUGUCCUAGAACCGAUAACCCCCGUUCAACCUCACCACUUCUUGCCCAGCCCGCCUAUAUACCGCCGUCGUCAGCUUACCCUGUGAAGGACUGAUAGUAAGCUAAAUUGGCACAGCCCCAAACGUCAGGCCGAGGUGUAGCCUACGAAGUGCGCAAGAGAUGGGCUACAUUUUCUGACCCAGAAAACCACGAAAGAGAAUCUGAAACAAAUCUCCGAAGGAGGAUUUAGCAGUAAGCAGGGAAUAGAGAGCCCU
rnacentral:rRNA from 1 species